ensembl:lncRNA
GGAUGGAAGAGAUGCCAGAUUCUGUCCUACAAAUAGCACCUUUUUAGUAAUUAUGUUUCAUAGACCAUCUCUUGUUUCUGUUUUGAGAAUGCACUGCCUAUUUACCUUCUGGUUAUCUCAGCAGUUUCCCUCUUCUUAGGUCAUUGCUCUUGUAGGAUAUCCCCUGAGCCGCAUUGGAAAUAGCUGUAUUUUCACUGAGUACUGAACUCUCCCACGAAUUGCUACCAGGGGCACGCUGUGCUGGCUUCAAACUGACCUUCCAUAGGGAUGAUGGAUCAUAGAAUCAUAGAAUCGCUAAGGUUGGAAAAGACCCACAGGAUCAUCCAGUCCAACCAUUUGCCCUUCACCAAUGGUUCUCGCUAAACCAUGUCCCUCAACACAACAUCCAAAUGCUCUUUGAACACCCCCAGGCUCGGUGACUCCACCACCUCUCUGGGCAGCCCACUCCAGUGCCUGACCACCCUUUCAGAGAUGGAGUAUUUCCUAACAUCUACCCUGAACCUUCCCUGGCGCAGAGGGGAAGACUCAUCAGAGACUGAAUCUACACCAUUCCCAUCACUGCAGAUCAUAGAGUCACAGAAUCAUUAAGGUUUGGAAAAGACCUCUGGGAUCAUCCAGUCCAAUCAUCAGGCCAUCCCCACCAUUCCCACUAACCAUGGCCCUCAGAGCCACAUCUACACAUUUCCUGAGCACCGCCAUGGAUGAUAACUCUACCACUCCCUGGGCAGCCUUGCCAAUGCCUCACCACUCUUUCUGAGAAGAAAUGUUUCCUGAUAUCUAACCUGAAAAUGCCAAGAAGAGCUGUAAAUAUAUAUAUAUAUAUAGUUGCUUUGGAGGGAAUGCUUAUCAUGCUAGUCAGACCCAGCACUAUUAUAAUUAAGAUAGUAACCUAUACUGUCAGACUGGAAGAUGUUUUGCCCUGGGAUUUCAUUGUGUCUUGGGCUCAUUCUAGAGACUGGGAAGCACUGGAGAUGUCACUUUACUCUGAGAAUAGAAUCGUAUGGUUCUAUAAUUCCAUGAGUUACUUGCUGAGCUCUACACCUGUUCAAGGCAUCAUUACUAACAGCAUCCAUGUGAGCGAAGCCUGACCAGCACCAAAAGA